rnacentral:rRNA from 1 species
GUGGGGAAUCUUCCGCAAUGGACGAAAGUCUGACGGAGCAACGCCGCGUGAGUGAAGAAGGUUUUCGGAUCGUAAAGCUCUUUCGUUAGGGACGAACGUGCUCUUUGUGAAUAAUGAGGAGUAAUGACGGUACCGGAAUAGAAAGCCACGGCUAACUACGUGCCAGCAGCCGCGGUAAUACGUAGGUGGCAAGCGUUGUCCGGAAUUAUUGGGCGUAAAGCGCGCGCAGGCGGAUCUGCCAGUCUGUCUUAAAAGUGCGAGGCUCAACCUCGUGAGGGGACAGAAACUGGUAUUCUUGAGUGUCGGAGAGGAAAGUGGAAUUCCAAGUGUAGCGGUGAAAUGCGUAGAGAUUUGGAAGAACACCAGUGGCGAAGGCGACUUUCUGGACGAUGUCUGACGCUGAGGCGCGAAAGCUAGGGGAGCGAACGGGAUUAGAAACCCGAGUAGUCC